rnacentral:rRNA from 1 species
GACGAACGCUGGCGGCGUGCUUAACACAUGCAAGUCGAACGGAAAGGCCCUGCUUUUGUGGGGUGCUCGAGUGGCGAACGGGUGAGUAACACGUGAGUAACCUGCCCUUUACUUUGGGAUAACUUCAGGAAACUGGGGCUAAUACCGGAUAUGAGCUCCUGCUGCAUGGUUGGUGUUGGAAAGUUUCGGCGGUUGGGGAUGGACUCGCGGCAUAUCAGCUUGUUGGUGGGGUAGUGGCUUACCAAGGCUUUGACGGGUAGCCGGCCUGAGAGGGUGACCGGCCACAUUGGGACUGAGAUACGGCCCAGACUCAUACGGGAGGCAGAAGUGGGGAAUAUUGCAAGAAGGGCGGAAGCAGGAAGCAGCAACGCCGCGUGCGGGAUGACGGCCGUCAGGUUGUAAACCGCUUUCGCCUGUGACGAAGCGUGAGUGACGGUAAUGGGUAAAGAAGCACCGGCUAACUACGUG